GCUGUUGAAAGGCUGCAGGGAGAGAAAAUGAGAUCUGAGGACCGGAAAGUGGAAUUGAUUUCAUGCUUAGCAAAAUGAGGGUUUCAGCAGAGGAUCUUUUUGUGGCGAGGCUAUGGAAUCAGAAGGACAGUUUGUCUGGGCAACUGGGAGAUUUACAGUUUUUCAUGCAGCCAACCAAGACAUUGGGGUUAACAUCAUCUCAAAUGGCUGGCAAAGAUUGCAUGUAACUGUCAGUGUAGGACAAGAAAGGCAGGUAUAGGUUAGGGAGGACAUCCAUCGGUGAGCUCUGACUGGAUGUGAGGACCUGUCACACUUGACCAGAGAUGAAGGCUGCAGCGCAUUCCUGGAUCAGAGGACUCCAUGUUGGACACCACGACCUGGAGAAGUCCCACCCUGGAUGGCUGCAGUGAUGACCUAGCCCAAGAUGAACCGACCCUUCUAUGACGAGGACUUCGCCCAAGAUGAACCGACCAUUCUAUGACGAGGACUUCGCCCAAGAUGAACCGACCCUUCUACGACGAGGACUUCACCCAAGAUGAACCGACCUUUUCCACGGGAUGUCUUCAGAUGUUGGACCUUGCCAAACUGUACACAUGCCUCAAUGGCUGCUACGUCACUCUGCCCAACAGGACACGGUCACCGAGAUUUAAAUUUUAUUUUUUUAAAUGGACUUUAACCCGCCUUGUCCCCACUGACCCACAACCACACAUAACAAAACACUGUACAUGUGAUGUAUCACCACACUAAAAUACAGACACUGCUACCUCAGCCUGUUUCAGUCUGUAAAAGAUCGCAAGCCCUCUGCAUGACCCAACAGCAUCGAUGUUUGAGUUAUUUAAUUGCUCAAUUUUUAAAUCAGUCAAGAUUUUAUGAGCUGGGUCUUUUUCACACAACAGAGAACAAGGUAAAUUGAGUCGACUCGUAACAUGGUAAGGCAUUUCGUCCUUCCCCUUCUUCUCUGUGUGUGAGGAAAUCUGGCCACAGAUCCUGACUGAUUGGCAUACCAUAGCUGUGCAGUUUCCAAAAUCAGACAAGGAUCCAUCUGAUUUUGUGACUCGGCCUGUCGUGAUAUGCAUUUAUUUUCCUCCGAAAAAAGGAUUGGAAUGGACAGGUUUGUAGUGUAAAUCACAUCACUUGUAGAUGGUGAUGGUGUACAGACACUGCUACUUUCAGCCUGUAAUGUUUGACAUUGAAAACUUGUAUUUAUUGCCUUCUUUAUAUCAAGUAAAACUUUUGU